rnacentral:RNase_P_RNA from 1 species
GGGCGUGAGCAGACGGUCGCCGUCGGGGCGCACGCCCCGGCGGAGGAAAGUCCGGGCACGGCAGGACACGGCGGUGGGUAACGCCCACCCGCCCGUUCGGACGCGGGCGCGGGACAGUGCCACAGAAAUCACACCGCCGAUGGCCCCGCGAGGGGAUCAGGCAAGGGUGAAAUGGUGCGGUAAGAGCGCACCGCCUUCCCGGUGACGGGAGGGGCACGGCAAACCCCGCCGCGUGCAAGGUCCAGCAGCCUCCGCGGGCGUGAGCCCGACGCUCGGUCCGGGCGGCAGGGGGCGGGUAGACCGCUGGGCCCGAGAGGGCCCGAUCGCGACGGCAACGUCGCGGCGAGAGAAAUGACCGUCGGGGCCGGGCAUCAGGCCCGGCCGGACAGAACCCGGCUUACCGCUCACGCCCUCCG